rnacentral:rRNA from 1 species
GAGUGGCGAACGGGUGAGUAACACGUGGGUAACCUGCCCAUCAGAAGGGGAUAACACUUGGAAACAGGUGCUAAUACCGUAUAACAAUCGAAACCGCAUGGUUUCGUUUUGAAAGGCGCUUUACGGUGCCGCUGAUGGAUGGACCCGCGGUGCAUUAGCUAGUUGGUGAGGUAACGGCUCACCAAGGCCACGAUGCAUAGCCGACCUGAGAGGGUGAUCGGCCACAUUGGGACUGAGACACGGCCCAAACUCCUACGGGAGGCAGCAGUAGGGAAUCUUCGGCAAUGGACGAAAGUCUGACCGAGCAACGCCGCGUGAGUGAAGAAGGUUUUCGGAUCGUAAAACUCUGUUGUUAGAGAAGAACAAGGGUGAGAGUAACUGUUCACCCCUUGACGGUAUCUAACCAGAAAGCCACGGCUAACUACGUGCCAGCAGCCGCGGUAAUACGUAGGUGGCAAGCGUUGUCCGGAUUUAUUGGGCGUAAAGCGAGCGCAGGCGGUUUCUUAAGUCUGAUGUGAAAGCCCCCGGCUCAACCGGGGAGGGUCAUUGGAAACUGGGAGACUUGAGUGCAGAAGAGGAGAGUGGAAUUCCAUGUGUAGCGGUGAAAUGCGUAGAUAUAUGGAGGAACACCAGUGGCGAAGGCGGCUCUCUGGUCUGUAACUGACGCUGAGGCUCGAAAGCGUGGGGAGCAAACAGGAUUAGAUACCCUGGUAGUCCACGCCGUAAACGAUGAGUGCUAAGUGUUGGAGGGUUUCCGCCCUUCAGUGCUGCAGCUAACGCAUUAAGCACUCCGCCUGGGGAGUACGACCGCAAGGUUGAAACUCAAAGGAAUUGACGGGGGCCCGCACAAGCGGUGGAGCAUGUGGUUUAAUUCGAAGCAACGCGAAGAACCUUACCAGGUCUUGACAUCCUUUGACCACUCUAGAGAUAGAGCUUCCCCUUCGGGGGCAAAGUGACAGGUGGUGCAUGGUUGUCGUCAGCUCGUGUCGUGAGAUGUUGGGUUAAGUCCCGCAACGAGCGCAACCCUUAUUGUUAGUUGCCAUCAUUUAGUUGGGCACUCUAGCAAGACUGCCGGUGACAAACCGGAGGAAGGUGGGGAUGACGUCAAAUCAUCAUGCCCCUUAUGACCUGGGCUACACACGUGCUACAAUGGGAAGUACAACGAGUCGCGAAGUCGCGAGGCUAAGCUAAUCUCUUAAAGCUUCUCUCAGUUCGGAUUGUAGGCUGCAACUCGCCUACAUGAAGCCGGAAUCGCUAGUAAUCGCGGAUCA